UACGAAGGGGGCGAGCGUUGUUCGGAUUUACUGGGCGUAAAGGGCGCGCAGGCGGCUCAUUUUGUCAGGCGUGAAAGCCCCGGGCUUAACCUGGGAACUGCGCUUGAGACGGGUGGGCUAGAGAUCGGGAGAGGAGAGUGGAAUUCCCAGUGUAGCGGUGAAAUGCGUAGAUAUUGGGAGGAACACCAGUGGCGAAGGCGGCUCACUGGACUGGUACUGACGCUGAGGCGCGAAAGCGUGGGGAGCAAACAGG
rnacentral:rRNA from 1 species